GUGGGGAAUAUUGGACAAUGGGCGCAAGCCUGAUCCAGCCAUGCCGCGUGAGUGAUGAAGGCCUUAGGGUUGUAAAGCUCUUUCAGUAGGGAAGAUAAUGACGGUACCUACAGAAGAAGCCCCGGCUAACUUCGUGCCAGCAGCCGCGGUAAUACGAAGGGGGCUAGCGUUGUUCGGAUUUACUGGGCGUAAAGCGCACGUAGGCGGAUUGGUCAGUUAGAGGUGAAAUCCCGAAGCUCAACUUCGGAACUGCCUUUAAUACUGCCAGUCUCGAGUCCGGAAGAGGUGAGUGGAACUCCUAGUGUAGAGGUGGAAUUCGUAGAUAUUAGGAAGAACACCAGUGGCGAAGGCGGCUCACUGGUCCGGUACUGACGCUGAGGUGCGAAAGCGUGGGGAGCAAACAGGAUUAGAAACCCCGGUAGUCC
rnacentral:rRNA from 1 species